rnacentral:rRNA from 1 species
UGGGGAAUAUUGCACAAUGGGCGCAAGCCUGAUGCAGCCAUGCCGCGUGUGUGAAGAAGGCCUUCGGGUUGUAAAGCACUUUCAGCGAGGAGGAAGGUGGUGAACUUAAUACGUUCAUCAAUUGACGUUACUCGCAGAAGAAGCACCGGCUAACUCCGUGCCAGCAGCCGCGGUAAUACGGAGGGUGCAAGCGUUAAUCGGAAUUACUGGGCGUAAAGCGCACGCAGGCGGUUUGUUAAGUCAGAUGUGAAAUCCCCGGGCUCAACCUGGGAACUGCAUUUGAAACUGGCAAGCUAGAGUCUCGUAGAGGGGGGUAGAAUUCCAGGUGUAGCGGUGAAAUGCGUAGAGAUCUGGAGGAAUACCGGUGGCGAAGGCGGCCCCCUGGACGAAGACUGACGCUCAGGUGCGAAAAGCGUGGGGAGCAAAACAGGAUUAGAUACCCUGGUAGUCCACGCUGUAAACGAUGUCGAUUUGGAGGUUGUGCCCCUUGAGGCGUGGCUUCCGGAGCUAACGCGUUAAAUCGACCGCCUGGGGAGUACGGCCGCAAGGUUAAAACUCAAAGGAAUUG